rnacentral:rRNA from 1 species
CAAUAGCGUAUAUUUAAGUUGCUGCAGUUAAAAAGCUCGUAGUUGGAUUUCGGGUGGGAAUGGCCUGUCCGCCGUUUCGGUGUGCACUUGCUACGCCCACCUUGCUGCCGGGGACGUGCUCUUGAGUUCACGCUCGGGACACGGAGUCGGCGAGGUUACUUUGAGUAAAUUAGAGUGUUCAAAGCAGGCCUACGCUCUGAAUACAUUAGCAUGGAAUAACACGAUAGGACUCUGGCCUAUCUUGUUGGUCUGUAGGACCGGAGUAAUGAUUAAGAGGGACAGUCGGGGGCAUUCGUAUUUCAUUGUCAGAGGUGAAAUUCUUGGAUUUAUGAAAGACGAACUACUGCGAAAGCAUUUGCCAAGGAUGUUUUCAUUAA